UACAGGAGGGGGCAAGCGUUUGUCCGGAUUUACUGGGCGUACAGCGCGCGCAGGCGGUUGCGUAUGUGAGCGGUGGACAUCCGCGGGCUCAACCCGCGGCGGCCCGCUUACACAGCGCGACUGGAGGCAGGGAGAGGGAUGUGGAAUACCCGGUGGAGCGGUGAAAUGCGUAGAUAAUGCGGAGGAACACCGAUGGCGAAGGCAAUCCCCUGGGCCUGUACUGACGCUCAUGCACGAAAGCGUGGGGAGCAAACAGG
rnacentral:rRNA from 1 species